rnacentral:sRNA from 1 species
GUAUGGUGCUGGGUGCAGAUGCAGUGUGGCUCUGGAUAGCACCUUAUGGACAGUUGUGUCCCCAAGGAAGGAUGAGAAUAGCUACUGAAGUCCUAAACAGCAAGCCUAACUCAAGCCAUUGGCACACAGGCAUUAGACAGAAAGCUGGAAGUUGAAAUGGUGGAGUCCAACUUGCCUGGACCAGCUUAAUGGUUCUGCUCCUGGUAACGUUUUUAUCCAUGGAUGACUUGCUUGGGUAUGGAGAGUCGGCUUGACUACACUGUGUGGAGCAACUUUUAAAGAAGCAAAGGACUCAGAAUUCAUGAUUGAAGAAAUGCAGGGUUUUUAACGACCACAACAAGCAAGCAUGCAGCUUACUGCUUGAAAGGUGAGGAUUGGAAAUGUUGGGACUAUUAUAAUUGCAGAAUACAUGAUGAUCUCAAUCCAACUUGAACUCUCUCACUGAUUACUUGAUGACAAUAAAAUAUCUGAUAUUCUGCAUUACCAUGUAGCAUUUUAAUUGAAGUCUGUAAGUGUGGCUAAAAGUCUUGUCUUAUUUUUUGAGACAGGGUCUUGCCUCACCCAAGCUGGAGUGCAGUGGCCUUUGAAGCUUACUACAGCCUCAAACUUCUGGGCUCAAGUGAUCCUCAGCCUCCCAGUGGUCUUUGUAGACUGCCUGAUGGAGUCUCAUGGCACAAGAAGAUUAAAACAAUGUCUCCAAUUUUAAUAAAUUUUUGCAAUCCA